rnacentral:sRNA from 1 species
UUGAACAAGUAGAAGCGCCCGCUUCUCGCCAAGUGAUGAUGUUGCUUGGCAGAUACAGUUGUCCUUAUGGACUACAAGUAUUCGGAGUGGGUGAAGAUUAAUUUCUUUAUCCACUUUUCUUCUUGAUU